AGAGUUUGAUCAUGGCUCAGGACGAACGCUGGCGGCGUGCUUAACACAUGCAAGUGGUGCGACGAACCAGGGCUUGCCCUGGGGCAAAGCCGCGAACGGGUGAGUAACACGUGAGUAACCUGCCCCGAUGACCGGGACAACCCAAGGAAACUCGGGCUAAUACCGGAUGUGGCGCACAGAUAUAAGCCUGUGCGCUAAAGGAAGCCUCGGCCUCCGCAUUGGGAGGGGCUCGCGGCCCAUUAGCUUGUUGGUGGGGUAACGGCCUACCAAGGCAACGAUGGGUAGCUGGUCUGAGAGGACGAUCAGCCACACUGGGACUGAGACACGGCCCAGACUCCUACGGGAGGCAGCAGUGGGGAAUCUUGCGCAAUGCGCGAAAGCGUGACGCAGCAACGCCGCGUGGGGGAAGACGGCCUUCGGGUUGUAAACCCCUUUCAGGAGGGACGAAGGUUCACCGGUGAAUAGCCGUGUGGAUUGACGGUACCUCCAGAAGAAGCUCCGGCUAACUACGUGCCAGCAGCCGCGGUAAUACGUAGGGAGCAAGCGUUGUCCGGAAUCAUUGGGCGUAAAGCGCGCGUAGGCGGCCCUGUAAGUCCGUUGUGAAAGUCAAAGGCUCAACCUUUUGAAAGCCGAUGGAUACUGCAGGGCUAGAGUCCGGAAGAGGCGAGUGGAAUUCCUGGUGUAGCGGUGGAAUGCGCAGAUAUCAGGAGGAACACCAAUAGCGAAGGCAGCUCGCUGGGACGGUACUGACGCUAAGGCGCGAAAGCGUGGGGAGCGAACAGGAUUAGAUACCCUAGUAGUCC
rnacentral:rRNA from 1 species